rnacentral:rRNA from 1 species
AGAACUUAGCAGAGAUGCUUUGGUGCCUUCGGGAACUCUGAGACAGGUGCUGCAUGGCUGUCGUCAGCUCGUGUUGUGAAAUGUUGGGUUAACGUCCCGCAACGAGCGCAACCCUUAUCCUUUGUUGCCAGCGGCUCGGCCGGGAACUCAAAGGAGACUGCCGGUGAUAAACCGGAGGAAGGUGGGGAUGACGUCAAGUCAUCAUGGCCCUUACGGCCAGGGCUACACACGUGCUACAAUGGCGCAUACAAAGAGAAGCGACCUCGCGAGAGCAAGCGGACCUCAUAAAGUGCGUCGUAGUCCGGAUUGGAGUCUGCAACUCGACUCCAUGAAGUCGGAAUCGCUAGCAAUCGUAGAUCAGAAUGCUACGGUGAAUACGUUCCCGGGCCUUGUACACACCGCCCGUCACACCAUGGGAGUGGGUUGCAAAAGAAGUAGGUAGCUUAACCUUCGGGAGGGCGCUUACCACUUUGUGAUUCAUGACUGGGGUGAAGUCGUAACAAGGUAGGCGUAGUGCU